rnacentral:rRNA from 1 species
UACGUAGGGUGCGAGCGUUGUCCGGAAUUACUGGGCGUAAAGAGCUCGUAGGUGGUUUGUCACGUCGUCUGUGAAAUUCCUGGGCUUAACCUCGGGCGUGCAGGCGAUACGGGCAAUACUUGAGUGCUGUAGGGGAGACUGGAAUUCCUGGUGUAGCGGUGAAAUGCGUAGAUAUCGGGAGGAACACCGGUGGCGAAGGCGGCUUUCUGGCCAGUUACUGACGCUCAUGCGCGAAAGCUGGGGUAGCGAACCGGAUUAGAUACCCUUGUAGUCCCU